rnacentral:rRNA from 1 species
GAUGAACGCUGGCGGCGUGCCUAAUACAUGCAAGUCGAGCGAACGGACGAGAAGCUUGCUUCUCUGAUGUUAGCGGCGGACGGGUGAGUAACACGUGGAUAACCUACCUAUAAGACUGGGAUAACUUCGGGAAACCGGAGCUAAUACCGGAUGAUAUUUUGAACCGCAUGGUUCAAAAGUGAAAGACGGUCUUGCUGUCACUUAUAGAUGGAUCCGCGCUGCAUUAGCUAGUUGGUAAGGUAACGGCUUUCAAAGGGAAGGAGGCGUAGCCGACGGGAGAGGGUGAUCGGCCACACUGGAGCUGAGACACGGACCAGGCGCCUACGAGAGGCAGCAGUAGGGUAUCUUCCGCAGUGGGCGAGAGCCUGACGGAGCAAGGCGGCGUGAGUGGUGAAGGUCUUCGGAUCGUAAAGCUCUGUUAUGAGGGAAGAACAUAUGUGUAAGUAACUGUGCACAUCUUGACGGUACCUGGUCAGAAAGCAACGGCUAACUACGUG